rnacentral:rRNA from 1 species
CAAAGGUUAAUUCCGGUGGCGGAUGGGCAUGCGUCGCAUUAGUUAGUUGGCGGUGUAACGGACCACCAAGACGACGAUGCGUAGGGGUUCUGAGAGGAAGGUCCCCCACACUGGUACUGAGACACGGACCAGACUCCUACGGGAGGCAGCAGUGAGGAAUAUUGGUCAAUGGGCGGGAGCCUGAACCAGCCAAGUCGCGUGAGGGAUGACGGCCCUAUGGGUUGUAAACCUCUUUUGCCGGGGAGCAAAGUGCCGCACGUGUGCGGUUUGGAGAGUACCCGGAGAAAAAGCAUCGGCUAACUCCGUGCCAGCAGCCGCGGUAAUACGGAGGAUGCGAGCGUUAUCCGGAUUUAUUGGGUUUAAAGAGUGCGUAGGCGGACGCUUAAGUCAGCGGUAAAAUUGCGGGGCUCAACCUCGUCGAGCCGUUGAAACUGGGUGCCUUGAGUGGGCGAGAAGUACGCGGAAUGCGUGGUGUAGCGGUGAAAUGCAUAGAUAUCACGCAGAACUCCGAUUGCGAAGGCAGCGUACCGGCGCCCAACUGACGCUGAAGCACGAAGGCGUGGGUAUCGAACAGGAUUAGAUACCCUGGUAGUCCACGCAGUAAACGAUGAAUGCUAGUUGUCCGGGGCGAUUGAGUUCUGG